rnacentral:lncRNA from 1 species
AUAAAAUAGUAAGUAAGUCAAAAUAUGGGUACAUCAGUCAUCACUGUGUUACAAUCUUAAAACAAACAAUUUUACAAAAAAGCACAAACACAUCUAUCAAAUUAAAAACUCAUUGACAGCUUCACGUGUCUGACGUCAGAAAAUGUAUACGUCACCUUUUUUAGAAAUACCAAAUAAAAUUGAGAAUGGAAAUGGGGAAUGUGCCAAAGAGACAA